CCGCCGCGCGCCGACCCCGGGGCGCACCCCCCGCGCCGCCUGUGCGCCCUCGGGCCGGGAGCCCCCGGGAACCCGCCGCGGCGGAGGGUCGGGAAGGCCGCGGGAGGCGGGACGGAACCGCGGAGCCGGACCCGCAGGGCCGCAGGGCCAGGCCCGGAGCCGCGCGAGCCGGCAGGUGCGGCCGGGAGGCUCGUGGCGAGGCGGCCGGCCGCGGGGUCCCGGGCAGAGCGCCCGCCGGGGCUGGGGCCGGGGGUCGUCCCUGCUUCAAGGACCGGGUUUGUAACGUGGGAGUCUGGACGCGGGACGCUGGGGACGGCCUCCCCGCUCUUCCCUCCGGCCGCCCGCACCGGGAACGCCAGUGCGUCCCGGCGCUGCGCCGCGGAGCUGCUCCGAGGGGACCGGACGCAGGAAGGGGCGCCGGGGUCAGAGCUGAGCCGCCGCCGCGAGCAGAGGGAGGCGCGGAAAGUGACGCCGCGCAGGGUGUUGGGGACCCACUCCCCGCCCAGCACCGGGUCCCCAGAUCCCCCCCGGAGGUGCGGCAAGGACUUUAAAGCCCUUUGUCUUUACUCCAAGAGAAGUUUCGGUUUGUCUUCUAAAGUUGGAGAAUAGGAUCAUGCAGCCACAAAUUAACAGGGAUCCGGAGGAGGGAGCUGGCCCACUGACCCCUGCACCUGAUGGCCAGGGCUUACUGGAGAUGAAUUUUGUUGAUAAGCUCCUCAAGCAAGGCAAAAAAGCUAAUGACAUUUCGCACGUUUGCCACCGCGUCUCUCAGCAGCAAGGACCUCCAAGUGCAUUAAAUUAAUUUCCACGUGCAGAAGAGAAGCGCUGUGCUGUUCCCAGCGUCCAAAUGGCAUAAAGGAGGUCCCGUCGCUUUAAAAAAAAAAAAAAAAAUUGCUUCUGGUUGACACUGGCUGAGAGGUAUUUGUGGGAACAGUAGCUAAGUCCAUGUACACCUCAAAACGUGACAUGGAGACUUUCCUGUUGUCAUCAAGGACAGCCCAGAAGCCCAAACCCAGAGAACGAAAAGAAAACCGAACAGACAGGAGACUGCAGUGAAGCACGUAAGAAAGAUGGUCUGAAAACGAAAUCGGCAAGAUCCGCGGCACGAAAGCCGGCGAGGUGUUUGAGCUUGGCAGGGAAAUCCUAGGUCCUUAUUAAUGGAAACAGUCAGGAUAUAUUAGUUAAGGCUCAUGGGAAAAAAAGGAAUUGAAAAUGAAAAUGGAAUAGAAGUCCUCAAAACAUGUACAAAAUGCAUAAUGACAGUAAUCUCCUGGCCUUGACAUUGAAGAUCAUAAAGCACAGCUUAAAUCACAUCCCGACAGGCUACUCUUCCUUCCAAGGAAUUAUUUGAGUGGCCGAAAAUUAAAAUUUCUCUCAAAAAUAUGUAUUUCUUCCAGAACUCAGAAACACAAUUUCUCUAUCAAUGUAAUAACUAAGCAAGCCAUGCAAAUUUUAAAUCAGUUUACAAAGACACAGAUGCCCUAAGAACCAUUUUCUAGCUCAUUUUCAAAGUUUUAAGUUUGUGAAUAGGUUAACUUUUUAUAAAUUCCAGUAGAAUAAAAAGUAUAUUCUAAUUUUAAA